CUCGUAGGCGGUUCGUCGCGUCCGGUGUGAAAGUCCAUCGCCUAACGGUGGAUCUGCGCCGGGUACGGGCGGGCUGGAGUGCGGUAGGGGAGACUGGAAUUCCCGGUGUAACGGUGGAAUGUGUAGAUAUCGGGAAGAACACCAAUGGCGAAGGCAGGUCUCUGGGCUGUUACUGACGCUGAGGAGCGAAAGCGUGGGGAGCGAAACA
rnacentral:rRNA from 1 species